rnacentral:rRNA from 1 species
CGCCUCUUGAAUAAAUAUAAGAGGUCCAGCCUGCCCAGUGACUCUGUUCAACGGCCGCGGUAUCCUAACCGUGCGAAGGUAGCGUAAUCACUUGUUCUUUAAAUGAGGACUCGUAUGAAUGGCACCACGAGGGUUAUACUGUCUCCUUUUUUCAAUCAGUGAAACUAAUCUCCCCGUGAAGAAGCGGGGUUGAAGAUAUAAGACGAGAAGACCCUAUGGAGCUUUAAACUUAAUAGCAAAUACUAUCAUUAAUUAAACCUUCAGAACAUAAACCUUUAUUCCAGUAUUAUGACUAUUAGUUUUAGGUUGGGGUGACCGCGGAGCAAAAAUUAACCUCCACAUUGAACGGGACUUACUCCUGAGCAAAAAGCCACGACUUUAAGCACCAACAAAUUGACAUUAAUUGACCCAAUAUUUUGAUCAACGAACCAAGUUACCCUAGGGAUAACAGCGCAAUCCACUUCAAGAGCUCCUAUCGACAAGUGGGUUUACGACCUCGAUGUUGGAUCAGGGUAUCCCAGUGGUGCAGCCGCUACUAAAGGUUCGUUUGUUCAACGAUUAAAACCCUACGUGAUCUGAGU